GGCUGGUUAGCUCAGUCAGUUGAGCGUGGCACUAACAAUGCAAAGGUCAUGGGUUCGAUUCCCGUUCGAUCCC
rnacentral:tRNA from 1 species